GAAGUAAAAGUCGUAACAAGGUCUCCGUUGGUGAACCAGCGGAGGGAUCAUUACUGAGUUUACGCUCUACAACCCUUUGUGAACAUACCUAUAACUGUUGCUUCGGCGGGUAGGGUCUCCGUGACCCUCCCGGCCUCCCGCCCCCGGGCGGGUCGGCGCCCGCCGGAGGAUAACCAAACUCUGAUUUAACGACGUUUCUUCUGAGUGGUACAAGCAAAUAAUCAAAACUUUUAACAACGGAUCUCUUGGUUCUGGCAUCGAUGAAGAACGCAGCGAAAUGCGAUAAGUAAUGUGAAUUGCAGAAUUCAGUGAAUCAUCGAAUCUUUGAACGCACAUUGCGCCCGCCAGCAUUCUGGCGGGCAUGCCUGUUCGAGCGUCAUUUCAACCCUCAAGCUCUGCUUGGUGUUGGGGCCCUACAGCUGAUGUAGGCCCUCAAAGGUAGUGGCGGACCCUCCCGGAGCCUCCUUUGCGUAGUAACUUUACGUCUCGCACUGGGAUCCGGAGGGACUCUUGCCGUAAAACCCCCAAUUUUCCAAAGGUUGACCUCGGAUCAGGUAGGAAUACCCGCUGAACUUAAGCAUAUC
rnacentral:rRNA from 1 species